rnacentral:rRNA from 1 species
GUGGAAGCGUCUGGAAAGACGCGCGAUACAGGGUGACAGCCCCGUACACAAAAAUGCACAUAUUGUGAGCUCGAUGAGUAGGGCGGGACACGUGGUAUCCUGUCUGAAUAUGGGGGGACCAUCCUCCAAGGCUAAAUACUCCUGACUGACCGAUAGUGAACCAGUACCGUGAGGGAAAGGCGAAAAGAACCCCGGCGAGGGGAGUGAAAAAGAACCUGAAACCGUGUACGUACAAGCAGUGGGAGCACGCUUAGGCGUGUGACUGCGUACCUUUUGUAUAAUGGGUCAGCGACUUAUAUUCUGUAGCAAGGUUAACCGAAUAGGGGAGCCGAAGGGAAACCGAGUCUUAACUGGGCGUUAAGUUGCAGGGUAUAGACCCGAAACCCGGUGAUCUAGCCAUGGGCAGGUUGAAGGUUGGGUAACACUAACUGGAGGACCGAACCGACUAAUGUUGAAAAAUUAGCGGAUGACUUGUGGCUGGGGGUGAAAGGCCAAUCAAACCGGGAGAUAGCUGGUUCUCCCCGAAAGCUAUUUAGGUAGCGCCUCGGACGAAUACCAUUGGGGGUAGAGCACUGUUUCGGCUAGGGGGUCAUCCCGACUUACCAACCCGAUGCAAACUGCGAAUACCGGAGAAUGUUAUCACGGGAGACAGACGGCGGGUGCUAACGUCCGUCGUGAAGAGGGAAACAACCCAGACCGCCAGCUAAGGUCCCAAAGUCAUGGUUAAGUGGGAAACGAUGUGGGAAGGCCCAGACAGCCAGGAUGUUGGCUUAGAAGCAGCCAUCAUUUAAAGAAAGCGUAAUAGCUCACUGGUCGAGUCGGCCUGCGCGGAAGAUGUAACGGGGCUAAACCAUGCACCGAAGCUGCGGCAGCGAC